GUUGUCCGGAAUUAUUGGGCGUAAAGGGCUCGCAGGCGGUUUCUUAAGUCUGAUGUGAAAGCCCCCGGCUCAACCGGGGAGGGUCAUUGGAAACUGGGAAACUUGAGUGCAGAAGAGGAGAAUGGAAUUCCACGUGUAGCGGUGAAAUGCGUAGAGAUGUGGAGGAACACCAGUGGCGAAGGCGACUCUCUGGUCUGUAACUGACGCUGAGGAGCGAAAGCGUGGGGAGCGAACAGGAUUAGAUACCCUGGUAGUCCACGCCGUAAACGAUGAGUGCUAAGUGUUAGGGGGUUUCCGCCCCUUAGUGCUGCAGCUAACGCAUUAAGCACUCCGCCUGGGGAGUACGGUCGCAAGACUGAAACUCAAAGGAAUUGACGGGGGCCCGCACAAGCGGUGGAGCAUGUGGUUUAAUUCGAAGCAACGCGAAGAACCUUACCAGGUCUUGACAUCCUCUGACAACCCUAGAGAUAGGGCUUUCCCUUCGGGGACAGAGUGACAGGUGGUGCAUGGUUGUCGUCAGCUCGUGUCGUGAGAUGUUGGGUUAAGUCCCGCAACGAGCGCAACCCUUGAUCUUAGUUGCCAGCAUUCAGUUGGGCACUCUAAGGUGACUGCCGGUGACAAACCGGAGGAAGGUGGGGAUGACGUCAAAUCAUCAUGCCCCUUAUGACCUGGGCUACACACGUGCUACAAUGGACAGAACAAAGGGCUGCAAGACCGCAAGGUUUAGCCAAUCCCAUAAAUCUGUUCUCAGUUCGGAUCGCAGUCUGCAACUCGACUGCGUGAAGCUGGAAUCGCUAGUAAUCGCGGAUCAGCAUCGCGGGGGGAAAACUUUUCCCGGGGCCUUGUACACACCGCCCGUCACACCACGAGAGUUUGCAACACCCGAAGUCGGUGAGGUAACCUUUAUGGAGCCAGCCGCCGAAGGUGGGGCAGAUGAUUGGGGGAUCA
rnacentral:rRNA from 1 species